AGUGAACGCUGGCGGUAGGCCUAACACAUGCGAGUCGAACGGCAGCACAGUAAGAGCUUGCUCUUGCGGUUGGCGAGUGGCGGACGGGUGAGGAAUACAUCGGAAUCUACUUUUUCGUGGGUGAUAACGUAGGGAAACUUACGCUAAUACCGCAUACGACCUACGGGUGAAAGCAGGAGAGCUUCGGACCUUGCGCGAUUGAAUGAGCCGAUGUCGGAUUAGCUAGUUGGCGGGGUAAAGGCCCACCAAGGCGACGAUACGUAGCUGGCCUGAGAGGAUGAUCAGCCACACUGGAACUGAGACACGGUCCAGACUCCUACGGGAGGCAGCAGUGGGGAAUAUUGGACAAUGGGCGCAAGCCUGAUCCAGCCAUACCGCGUGGGUGAAGAAGGCCUUCGGGUUGUAAAGCCCUUUUGUUGGGAAAGAACAGCAGCAGGUUAAUAUCCCGCUGUUCUGACGGUACCCAAACAAUAAGCACCGGCUAACUUCGUG
rnacentral:rRNA from 1 species